rnacentral:tRNA from 1 species
AUCCUUUUAGUAUAAACAGUACUAUUGACUUCCAAUCAAUAAGUUCCAAAUAAAGACGGAAAAGGAUAA